GACGAACGCUGGCGGCGUGCUUAACACAUGCAAGUCGAACGGAAAGGCCUUUUCGGAGGUACUCGAGUGGCGAACGGGUGCGUAACACGUGGGUGAUCUGCCCUGCACUCUGGGAUAAGCCUGGGAAACUGGGUCUAAUACCGGAUAGGACCGCACUUUAGUGUGUGUGGUGGAAAGUUUUUUCGGUGUAGGAUGAGCCCGCGGCCUAUCAGCUUGUUGGUGGGGUAAUGGCCUACCAAGGCGGCGACGGGUAGCCGGACUGAGAGGUUGGUCAGCCACAUUGGGACUGAGAUACGGCCCAGACUCCUACGGGAGGCAGCAGUGGGGAAUAUUGCACAAUGGGCGCAAGCCUGAUGCAGCGACGCCGCGUGGGGGAUGACGGCCUUCGGGUUGUAAACUCCUUUCGCCAGGGACGAAGCGUUUUGUGACGGUACCUGGAGAAGAAGCACCGGCUAACUACGUG
rnacentral:rRNA from 1 species